CCUACGGGUGGCAGCAGUGGGGAAUAUUGCGCCAUGGGGGAAACCCUGACGCAGCAACGCCGCGUGAGUGAAGACGUAUCUCGGUAUGUAAAGCUCUAUCAGCGGGGAAGAAGGAAGACGGUACCCGACUAAGAAGCCCCGGCUAACUACGUGCCAGCAGCCGCGGUAAUACGUAGGGGGCGAGCGUUAUCCGGAUUUACUGGGUGUAAAGGGAGUGUAGACGGCGUCGCAAGUCUGAAGUGAAAGCCCGUGGCUCAACCGCGGAACCGCUUUGGAAACUGCGAGGCUGGAGUGCUGGAGAGGUAAGCGGAAUUCCUGGUGUAGCGGUGAAAUGCGUAGAUAUCAGGAGGAACACCGGUGGCGAAGGCGGGUUCCUGGACAUUAACUGACGCUGAGGCACGAAGGCCAGGGGAGCGAAAGGGAUUAGAUACCCGGGUAGUC
rnacentral:rRNA from 1 species